rnacentral:lncRNA from 1 species
CGGUUUUCGAAGCAAUGAAACAGUGUGGAUCUGAGAGUUUAGAUGAAGGUCACAUAGGGAUGAUUGGAGGGAAGAGAGUGCAGAUCAGAGUGUUGAGAGAGCAUGAUCGGCGUGGAGGAGGAUGAGCAUUGACAAGUUCUUUUUGAAAUAUCCUUUUUUUUUCUUUUUUAUUAUAAUUUUUUAUCCAAAUUAGCACCACAUAUAUGCCAACGGGACCCUGAUUUUGACUAUGACUAACAUAUCAACAUAAAAGACUAACGUGGCAUUGUAU